UACAGAGGUCCCAAGCGUUACUGAGAAUCACUGGGUUUAAAGGGUGCGUAGGUGGUCCGUUAAGUCAGUUGUGAAAUCCCCGGGCUCAACCCGGGAACUGCUUCUGAUACUGGCGGACUUGAGGCCAGUAGGGGUCACUAGAACUGACGGUGGAGCGGUGAAAUGCGUAGAUAUCGUCAGGAAUGCCGGUGGUGAAGACGGGUGACUGGGCUGGUUCUGACACUGAGGCACGAAAAGCGUGGGGGAGCGAACGGG
rnacentral:rRNA from 1 species